GUGCUCUCUUGAGGAACACAUAUACUAAAACUGGAAGGACACCAAAGAAGAUUGACAAGGCCCUGUACAAAAAAGUCAUGAAAAUUCUUGCAGCAUUCCACAUUCAU
rnacentral:snRNA from 1 species